CCACAUUUGACAUUGAGGCUUCAGUGAAUUUCUGAAAGGCUGGCCCUUCCAUCCGAAUGGUAAGAGCCCACCUGCCUUCUGAUAAUGGGCUCUGCACCAUCAGGGCACAGAAUGGAUGCUGGGUGCUUGUUGGCUGCCCUGAUGUUAUGCAUUAAGGGUACAUAUCUAACAAUGUGAGAACUAUAUCUGAUACAAAUUUUACUCCACAAGAACAAACUUGUUCUUACUUGAGGAUAAAUGACCUCAGGGAUCAUUGGCUUUUAAGUGUCAUAAAUUUUUAUGACAUUAUGAAAAAAAUGGGGGUUGCAGUAAACCACUUAGUAUUAUAUUUCCAUUUACUGGAUAAUGGAUGAGGUGUAAUGUUCUAGCAAAAGUGUGUAGACCUACAGAGGGGAGGCUAGAAAUAGAACAGGAUACAAAAUAUGUACAACAAAAUUUCCCAAGGAAGUCAAGUUAGCUUUCCUCUGAUAUGACCAAAUAUUAAAAUAUAAAGUGAAUGCUUAAGAGAAGGGUUAAUGAUUGAUGGGGUACUAAAUUAAAAUAAAACGUGAUUAAGUUCUUAAGAGACCCUAAAAUGGGAAUUUGGAAAAGGCAGGGGUAGUCAGAAUAGCAGAGAUUAGUGCUAGAUAGUAAACAGUAACCUGGGAAAGCAACUAAAGAUAAAAAAAGAAGAAUUCAAAGGGGGAAUGUUGAGAUGUGAACUUCAGAAAAAAAAGACAUUAAGAAAGGGACGUAACUGUACAUAAAACCUCCAUAUGGUAUGGAAAUCAGAUAUUUUAACUUCAAUUUGGGCUUUCAACUAGGAAAGCAGGAGUUUGAUUAGGAUUCAUAAAUUCUGAAUAAUAAGAAGGAUCCAUUUUACUAUUUUUGAUAAAGGGGAAUUGAAAAGAUGCCUCAUGUUUCAAGUGGACAAUCUUUUUGAGAUAGGUUUCCCGGAAGCUAUUCCUCCUGUAUGAGUAGCUCUUUCUCUCUCUCCUUUUUUUUAGGUGAACUAAGGUCAAAACCACUGGACAUCGGGCUAGGUGUCCAAGAGUGCUGGUGUUCAGAGGAACAAAAUACUCUGAGAAACAAAUGGAGAAACAGAGAACCACAAAACUCUGGGGAAGGUCACACUGGCAAAUAUUGGCAUAGCAAAUUGCUUCAUGAUGUAGGUAUGGCUGAAGACCUCAGUGACCCCAGGGGUCUGGCUCUGCUGCCGAGGCUGGAGUGCAGUGGUGCUAUCGUGCCUCUCUGCAGCCUCAAACUCCUUGGCUCAAGUGAUCCUCCCACCUCAACCGCCUGAGUAGCUGGUACUACAGGCAUGUGCCACCAUACCUGGCUAA
rnacentral:lncRNA from 1 species